rnacentral:rRNA from 1 species
GGUCAACUCGGAGGAAGGUGGGGACGACGUCAAGUCAUCAUGCCCCUUAUAUCCAGGGCUGCAAACAUGCUACAAUGGCCGGUACAGAGGGCUGCGAGACCGCGAGGUUGAGCGAAUCCCAAAAAGCCGGUCUCAGUUCGGAUUGGAGUCUGCAACUCGACUCCAUGAAGGCGGAGUCGCUAGUAAUCGCGGAUCAGAAUGCCGCGGUGAAUACGUUCCCGGGCCUUGUACAC